GCCUAAAGAACAGUGAGGACCAUGGCACACCACAAACACCUACCCUGGCAUGCCCUGACACACAAGGGAGAAGCUAUGCAAGGUUAGGAGAGCUGGGAAGUGUUCACACGUGGAUUGGAUGUCCAGGCUUCAGUGGAGUCCAGAGACCAGCCCACUUCACCCCACAGCAGACAUCCUGGCACACCAACUAGCUGCCUGAACUCAGAUGUCCAGUGCCAGCUUUGCCUCUGGUACCCAAGAUAUUUACACAGAAUUGCCAAAUAUUAAACAUGACCUUUCUCCCUCCCAAGUGGCAGCUGGAAGUUGGGGCCUAUUACAGGAUAUCUCAAAUGGCUCUAAAUAAAUAAAUGUGGACAACUGAA